rnacentral:lncRNA from 1 species
GCUGGGGACAGUUAGAAGUUCACAAGUAGCAAACAAAGAUCAGACUGAAAGAAGCCAGAGUUAAGCUGUUAGGGUUCCUCGGAGCUCAGCUGGAAGUGACUGGAUGACAAGGCGCGCAAACUCAGCUGUGGGAAUGCCAUCAUGAUUCCACAAGUAGUGACCAAUGAGACCAUCACAGUGAUUUCGCCAAAUAGAAUCAACUUUCCCCAAACAGAGGAACCCCAGUCUACCCACCAGAGGCAAGACAGCCUGAAGAAACUUCUAAAGGCAGAGAUCAAAGUGAUGGCGGCAAUCCAGAUCAUGUGUGCUGUGAUGGUGUUGGCUCUGGGAAUCAUUCUGGCAUCAGUU